AAGUCGUAACAAGGUUUCCGUAGGUGAACCUGCGGAAGGAUCAUUAUUGAAGCUACCAUUGGAGUGUGGACGUGAUGCUGGCCCCUCGCCGGGCAUGUGCUCCUUCUGCCUCUGAUAAUCCGCUCAACCCCUUAUGUGCACCUUACCGGGCAGCGUCUUGAGAAAUCGAGGCGCCGUCUUCACACAAACCACUUAGAAAGUACUAGAAUGUCAUUGAGUAUCGAGGAAAUAAAUACAACUUUCAACAACGGAUCUCUUGGCUCUC
rnacentral:misc_RNA from 1 species